rnacentral:sRNA from 1 species
AAAGAAGUAGUAUGCCGCAGCGUAUCCAUAACGGGCUUUGCUGCGGAUAAUUCUUUUAUGAACCCCUUAGGAGUGAAUAAUGGCCCGUAUAGCCGGCAUUAACAUUCCUGAU